rnacentral:rRNA from 1 species
UACGUAGGGUGCAAGCGUUAAUCGGAAUUACUGGGCGUAAAGGGCUCGUAGGCGGCCAACUAAGUCGGAUGUGAAAUCCCCAGGCUUAACCUGGGAACUGCAUCCGAUACUGGAUGGCUUGAAUCCGGGAGAGGGAUGCGGAAUUCCAGGUGUAGAGGUGAAAUUCGUAGAUAUCAAGCGGAACACCGGUGGCGAAGGCGGCCUUCUGGACAGUGACUGACGCUGAGACGCGAAAGCGUGGGGAGCAAACAGG